rnacentral:miRNA from 1 species
ACACAGGAUGGUAGGCAGAUAGC